rfam:Chelonia mydas contig186416, whole genome shotgun sequence.
AUGCCUUGCUUCAGCGGCACAUAUUCUAAAAUUUGGAACAAUACAGAGAAGAUUAGCAUAGCCCCUGCACAAGGAUGACAUGCAAAUUUGUGAAGCGUUCAAUAACCGG